rnacentral:rRNA from 1 species
UGGGGAAUAUUGCACAAUGGGCGAAAGCCUGAUGCAGCAACGCCGCGUGAGUGAUGAAGGUCUUCGGAUUGUAAAGCUCUGUCUUUUGGGACGAUAAUGACGGUACCAAAGGAGGAAGCCACGGCUAACUACGUGCCAGCAGCCGCGGUAAUACGUAGGUGGCGAGCGUUGUCCGGAUUUACUGGGCGUAAAGGGUGCGUAGGCGGAUGUUUAAGUGAGAUGUGAAAUACCCGGGCUUAACUUGGGUGCUGCAUUUCAAACUGGAUAUCUAGAGUGCAGGAGAGGAGAAUGGAAUUCCUAGUGUAGCGGUGAAAUGCGUAGAGAUUAGGGAGAACACCAGUGGCGAAGGCGAUUCUCUGGACUGUAACUGACGCUGAGGCACGAAAGCGUGGGUAGCAAACAGGAUUAGAUACCCUGGUAGUCCACGCCGUAAACGAUGAGUACUAGGUGUAGGAGGUAUCGACCCCUUCUGUGCCGCAGUAAACACAUUAAGUACUCCGCCUGGGAAGUACGAUCGCAAGA